AGAGUUUGAUCCUGGCUCAGAGCGAACGCUGGCGGCAGGCCUAAUACAUGCAAGUCGAGCGGGUCCUUCGGGAUUAGCGGCGGACGGGUGAGUAACGCGUGGGAACGUGCCCUUUGGUACGGAACAACUGAGGGAUACUUCAGCUAAUACCGUAUGUGCCCUUCGGGGGAAAGAUUUAUCGCCAUUGGAGCGGCCCGCGUUGGAUUAGGGUAGUUGGGUGAGGUAAAGGCUCACCAAGCCUACGAUCCAUAGCUGGUCUGAGAGGAUGACCAGCCACACUGGGACUGAGACACGGCCCAGACCCCUACGGGAGGCAGCAGUAGGGAAUCUUGCGCAAUGGGCGAAAGCCUGACGCAGCCAUGCCGCGUGAAUGACGAAGGUCUUAGGAUUGUAAAAUUCUUUCACCGGGGACGAUAAUGACGGUACCCGGAGAAGAAGCCCCGGCUAACUUCGUG
rnacentral:rRNA from 1 species